rnacentral:rRNA from 1 species
GACGAACGCUGGCGGCGUGCCUAAUACAUGCAAGUCGAGCGAAGUUUUUCUGGUGCUUGCACCGGAAAAACUUAGCGGCGAACGGGUGAGUAACACGUAAAGAACCUGCCUUAUAGACUGGGACAACUAUUGGAAACGAUAGCUAAUACCGGAUAACAGCAUUAACUGCAUGGUUGAUGUUUGAAAGUUGGUUUUGCUAACACUAUGAGAUGGCUUUGCGGUGCAUUAGCUAGUUGGUGGGGUAAAGGCCUACCAAGGCGACGAUGCAUAGCCGACCUGAGAGGGUGAUCGACCACACUGGGACUGAGACACGGCCCAGACUCCUACGGGAGGCAGCAGUAGGGAAUCUUCAGCAAUGGGCGAAAGCCUGACGGAGCAACGCCGCGUGAGUGAAGAAGGCUUUCGGUUCGUAAAGCUCUGUUGUUAGGGAAGAAUGAUUGUGUAGUAACUAUACCCAGUAGAGACGGUACCUUACCAGAAAGCCACGGCUAACUACGUG